CCUACGGGUGGCUGCAGUGGGGAAUAUUGCACAAUGGGCGAAAGCCUGAUGCAGCGACGCCGCGUGAGCGAAGAAGGCCUUCGGGUCGUAAAGCUCUGUCCUAUGGGAAGAAAGAUGACGGUACCAUAGGAGGAAGCCCCGGCUAACUACGUGCCAGCAGCCGCGGUAAUACGUAGGGGGCGAGCGUUGUCCGGAAUGACUGGGCGUAAAGGGUACGUAGGCGGCCAAUUAAGCCAGGGGUGAAAGGCUACGGCUCAACCGUAGUAAGCCCUUGGAACUGAAUGGCUUGAGUGCAGGAGAGGAGAGUGGAAUUCCUAGUGUAGCGGUGAAAUGCGUAGAUAUUAGGAGGAACACCAGUGGCGAAGGCGACUCUCUGGACUGUAACUGACGCUGAGGCACGAAAGCGUGGGGAGCAAACAGGAUUAGAUACCCCUGUAGUC
rnacentral:rRNA from 1 species